CCCGCCACUGCGCCUGCCCAUGCUGCUGGCUGGCGCAAUCCAGUGGUGAGCUGAGAGGAAGCCCCGGCUUAGGAAACAGGGUUGUCCUCCACGUGGAUGACUCUGUGCCGAAAGCACGGGAACAGCC
ensembl:snoRNA SNORA65 small nucleolar RNA, H/ACA box 65